GUGGUAGAAUGGGGGAAGGAGUCAGAUAAAGAGGGGAGGGGAGUUAAGCCCAUGUGGCGCAAAGGAGCGAAGACAGAAGAUUAAUUUCUGUUCACGGCGAAAGCGAGAGUCCAGAUGGCUCCUGUGCAAAGACAAUCCAAACACUGACA